rnacentral:siRNA from 1 species
AGGAGUACAAGGAAAAGGGU